rnacentral:lncRNA from 1 species
AACUUUUGAAAUCAAUUUCCAAAUACCUUUGCAUGGCUUCAUGUUAUGAUAUCAGCAUGUUUUGUGCACGAAUUUGGACUUAAUGCAACCAUCAUUUGGGCCUGAAUGCAUGCCUAUGCACCCAUGCAUACAAGUUACAAAAUUUGGCCAAAUUUUCAAAAGGUGUGGAAAGCAAUAUGUAGGCUAUAAAUACAUGCCCUUGCUGAUCAGAAAAGGAAUCCACCUUGCCCAAGCUUUG